rnacentral:rRNA from 1 species
AUUGAACGCUGGCGGCAGGCUUAACACAUGCAAGUCGAGCGGAGCGAGGGUGCUUGCACCUUAGCUUAGCGGCGGACGGGUGAGUAAUGCUUAGGAAUCUGCCUAUUAGUGGGGGACAACAUUCCGAAAGGAAUGCUAAUACCGCAUACGCCCUACGGGGGAAAGCAGGGGAUCUUCGGACCUUGCGCUAAUAGAUGAGCCUAAGUCGGAUUAGCUAGUUGGUGGGGUAAAGGCCUACCAAGGCGACGAUCUGUAGCGGGUCUGAGAGGAUGAUCCGGCACGCUGGGACGGAGACACGGCGCAGGCUCCUACGGGAGGCAGCAGUGGGGAAUAUUGGACAAUGGGCGGAAGCCUGAUCUAGCCAUGCCGCGUGUGUGAAGAAGGCCUUUUGGUUGUAAAGCACUUUAAGCGAGGAGGAGGCUACUUAGAUUAAUACUCUGGGAUAGUGGACGUUACUCGCAGAAUAAGCACCGGCUAACUCUGUGCCAGCAGCCGCCGUAA